rnacentral:lncRNA from 1 species
AAACUGAAAAAGAAAAAGAGGAAGUAUGAAGGAGUGAAGAGUAAAGAGAGAGGGAGUGAUGUCGGAGAUGAAAGAGGAGGUUCAGCAAAUCAGACCACAGAGUCUUAGAGAGACAUGUACCAGUUUCCUCACUCCUGUAUCUAGUGUAGACACAGACACACUUGACUCAUCCCACAUCACCUCAGUAGCAUCUCCUACUGCACCUCUAUCCCUCUGCACACAGACAUGCAGGCUGUUCUUCUGCUCUUACUGCUGGCUGGAGCCUCCAAAGGUCUGGACUCCACCUGUAAUGCUACUCAGGAUGCUGCUUGUUAUGGGGCUCUGGGAGGACCUGUGUAUCUGCAGCUGAUGAGGAACACCAGUGGGCAUGCACUGUUAUUUAAUAAUGAACAGAACUUAAUUUUUGGUCUCAUAGGAUCCAAGACAGUGUUCUUUGAUGAGUUUAACACCCCAACAUUCCUUCAGAGGUGGCAGUUUGUUCCUGAUAACGGGACCCUAAUUAUAAACCCUGCAGAGAGGAGAGACGGAGGAACAUACAGAGUGGAGAUCUAUAAGUCAACUGUGGGAUAUCACACAGUACAGCUGAUCGUUAAAGGUAAAUCACUUCAUCUUGCCUCAUGCGAAUAUCAAAAAAUAAUCAAGGUUUUAGAGUUUAGAAACCUUAGAAAUAGUGCAUAUAUAAAAAUGCGUAAUCCGGCCAUUUUGAGACCAAAUUCAAGUGUCUACGACCUUCAGAAGCUGAGAUACAGAUGGGCUGGACGCACACGCACUAAAAGGGCACGGCAAAAUCUCGAUGUUGCUCGGGUUAC